rnacentral:rRNA from 1 species
CCUCUGAUCGAUGCAGAGAUGUAUCUUUCCUUCGGGACAGAGGAGACAGGUGGUGCAUGGUUGUCGUCAGCUCGUGUCGUGAGAUGUUGGGUUAAGUCCCGCAACGAGCGCAACCCUUAUAUUUAGUUGCCAGCACUUCGGGUGGGCACUCUAGAUAGACUGCCGGUGACAAACCGGAGGAAGGUGGGGAUGACGUCAAAUCAUCAUGCCCCUUAUGACCUGGGCUACACACGUACUACAAUGGCCGGUACAACGGGCUGCGAAAUCGCGAGAUGGAGCCAAUCCCAACAAAGCCGGUCUCAGUUCGGAUUGCAGGCUGCAACUCGCCUGCAUGAAGUCGGAAUUGCUAGUAAUCGCGGAUCAGCAUGCCGCGGUGAAUACGUUCCCGGGUCUUG